CUUAGCCAUGCAAGUCUCAGUACGAGCUGACUUAAAGUGAAACCGCAAAAGGCUCAGUAAACCGGUCAUAGUUUACCGGAUAUAUGCCACUCACGUGGAUAACUGUGGUAAUUCUAGAGCUAAUACAUGCAACCAAGUCCCGACCAGCGAUGGAAAGGACGCUUUUAUUGGAUCAAAACCAUUCGCCCGGCUCGCCCGGGCGUCUGCUUGAUGACUCUAGAUAACACCACAGAUCGCACGGUCACAGUACCGGCGACGUAUCCGUCAAAUGUCUGACUUAUCAGCUGUCGAUGGUAGACUCUGUGUCUACCAUGGCGCUCACGGGUAACGGGGAAUCAGGGUUCGAUUCCGGAGAGGGAGCCUGAGAAACGGCUACCACAUCCAAGGAAGGCAGCAGGCACGCAAAUUACCCACUCCCGGCACGGGGAGGUAGUGACAAAAAAUAACGAUACGGGACUCAUCCGAGGCCCCGUAAUCGGAAUGAGAACACCCUAAAUCCUUUAACGAGGAUCUAUUGGAGGGCAAGUCUGGUGCCAGCAGCCGCGGUAAUUCCAGCUCCAAUAGCGUAUAUUAAAGUUGUUGCGGUUAAAAAGCUCGUAGUUGGUUCUGCGUGCCACGCUGUCGGUUCACCGCCUGUCGGUGCAACUGGCAUGCCGUGGCAUGUCCUGUCGGUGGCCGACGGGCUUCGCGGCGCGCCCCACUCGCUCAGGCGUGUGGGUGUACGCGCCGUGUCGUCCUCGUUGGCCGGCUCAAUCCUACCGCGGUGCUCUUAAACGAGUGUCGAGGUAGGCCGACACUGUUUACUUUGAACAAAUUAGAGUGCUUAAAGCAGGCUCUGAAAGCAGCCUGAAUAGUGGUGCAUGGAAUAAUGGAACAGGACCUUGGUUCUAUUUUGUUGGUUUACGGAAUCCAAGGUAAUGAUCAAUAAGGACAGGCGGGGGCAUUCGUAUUGCGACGUUAGAGGUGAAAUUCUUGGAUCGUCGCAAGACGCACUAGAGCGAAAGCAUUUGCCCAGUAUGUCUUAAUUGAUCAAGAACGAAGUUAGAGGUU
rnacentral:rRNA from 1 species